AAUAGAUACCCGGGUAGUCCACGCCGUAAACGUUGGAUACUAGGUGUGGCGGUCUUACCAACGACUGCCGUGCCGAAGCUAACGCAUUAAGUAUCCCGCCUGGGGAGUACGGCCGCAAGGCUAAAACUCAAAGGAAUUGACGGGUCCCCGCACAAGCGGCGGAGCAUGCGGCUUAAUUCGAUGCAACCCGAAGAACCUUACCUGGGUUUGACAUCACGGGAAAAGCUGUAGAAAUACAGUGUCCAUUAGGGCCCGUGACAGGUGGUGCAUGGCUGUCGUCAGCUCGUGUCGUGAGAUGUUGGGUUAAGUCCCGCAACGAGCGCAACCCUUGUCCUAUGUUGCCAGCGGUUCGGCCGGGGACUCAUAGGAGACUGCCGGGGAUAACUCGGAGGAAGGUGAGGACGACGUCAAGUCAUCAUGCCCCUUAUAUCCAGGGCUGCACGCAUGCUACAAUGGCCGGUACAACGGGCAGCGAUCCCGCGAGGGUGAGCGAAUCCUAAAAAGCCGGUCCUAGUUCGGAUUGAAGUCUGCAACUCGA
rnacentral:rRNA from 1 species